UCGUGCUAGACGGGGUGGUAGCGGUGCCCUGUAACCCGCAAUCCGCUACAGCGGGGUUGAAGUCUAUCUGAGCAUUUUCCUUUUUAAGGUCAGGCUUAAGUAAGUGGCGUUGAAGGUUGGGUCCUACGCAACGGGAGUUUACAAACUCCGUCAGGCCCGGAAGGGAGCAGCGGUAAGUAAAUCUUUCCGUGUGCCGUAGGGGUACCUGACUGGAGCUAACUACUUAAGUAACGCUUAAACAGGAUUAUGCGAGGGUAGAUGCACGA
rnacentral:SRP_RNA from 1 species